rnacentral:rRNA from 1 species
UGCAGUCGAGCGGUAACAGAUCUAGCUUGCUAGAUGCUGACGAGCGGCGGACGGGUGAGUAAUGCAUAGGAAUCUGCCCAGUAGUGGGGGAUAACCUGGGGAAACCCAGGCUAAUACCGCAUACGUCCUACGGGAGAAAGGGGGCUUCGGCUCCCGCUAUUGGAUGAGCCUAUGUCGGAUUAGCUAGUUGGUGAGGUAAUGGCUCACCAAGGCAACGAUCCGUAGCUGGUCUGAGAGGAUGAUCAGCCACAUCGGGACUGAGACACGGCCCGAACUCCUACGGGAGGCAGCAGUGGGGAAUAUUGGACAAUGGGCGCAAGCCUGAUCCAGCCAUGCCGCGUGUGUGAAGAAGGCCCUCGGGUUGUAAAGCACUUUCAGCGAGGAAGAACGCCUAGUGGUUAAUACCCAUCAGGAAAGACAUCACUCGCAGAAGAAGCACCGGCUAACUCCGUGCCAGCAGCCGCGGUAAUACGGAGGGUGCAAGCGUUAAUCGGAAUUACUGGGCGUAAAGCGCGCGUAGGUGGCUUGAUAAGCCGGUUGUGAAAGCCCCGGGCUCAACCUGGGAACGGCAUCCGGAACUGUCAAGCUAGAGUGCAGGAGAGGAAGGUAGAAUUCCCGGUGUAGCGGUGAAAUGCGUAGAGAUCGGGAGGAAUACCAGUGGCGAAGGCGGCCUUCUGGACUGACACUGACACUGAGGUGCGAAAGCGUGGGUAGCAAACAGGAUUAGAUACCCUGGUAGUCCACGCCGUAAACGAUGUCGACCAGCCGUUGGGUGCCUAGCGCACUUUGUGGCGAAGUUAACGCGAUAAGUCGACCGCCUGGGGAGUACGGCCGCAAGGUUAAAACUCAAAUGAAUUGA